GGGCUUGUAGCUCAGUUGGUCAGAGCGCACCGCUGAUAACGGUGAGGUCACAGGUUCGAAUCCUGUCAGGCCCA
rfam:Leptolyngbya valderiana BDT 20041 contig00199, whole genome shotgun sequence.